UAGUGGCGAACGGGUGAGUAACACGUGGGCAAUCUGCCCUUCACUCUGGGACAAGCCCUGGAAACGGGGUCUAAUACCGGAUACGACACGGGGUCGCAUGACCUCCGUGUGGAAAGCUCCGGCGGUGAAGGAUGAGCCCGCGGCCUAUCAGCUUGUUGGUGGGGUGAUGGCCUACCAAGGCGACGACGGGUAGCCGGCCUGAGAGGGCGACCGGCCACACUGGGACUGAGACACGGCCCAGACUCCUACGGGAGGCAGCAGUGGGGAAUAUUGCACAAUGGGCGAAAGCCUGAUGCAGCGACGCCGCGUGAGGGAUGACGGCCUUCGGGUUGUAAACCUCUUUCAGCAGGGAAGAAGCGAGAGUGACGGUACCUGCAGAAGAAGCGCCGGCUAACUACGUGCCAGCAGCCGCGGUAAUACGUAGGGCGCAAGCGUUGUCCGGAAUUAUUGGGCGUAAAGAGCUCGUAGGCGGCUUGUCGCGUCGGAUGUGAAAGCC
rnacentral:rRNA from 1 species